CGCAUGGUAAAACAUCUUUCAACUCUCUCCUCUUUCUCUCUCUCUCUCUCUAGGGUUUUGUUUUUCAUCGAUUGCACGAAAAAUUCCCCAAUUGGUCGUAUCUAUUCGAUCGAAAUGGAAAAUGGAGGCGGAGAUUUGGAGGCGAAAAUUGAGAUGUUGCUGAAUGUGGAGAAGCAGAUGAGGCAAGUGGGUGAUGUUGCAGGUACGAGGAAGGCCAUCACACCUCUAGCAAUUCUUCUUCUCACACCUCAAACAAUACCCCUCAUUUUCUCCCUCCAAGAAAGCCAAAGCCGGCGAAGGAGAGACGCCGCAGUUCCGUCCUCCCACCGCCAAAAUACCCUCACCCAACCCCACCAUCAAACCAUUUCCCUUCUCCUCUGUUCACUUCUUCGAGGAAAAAAGUUAAAGAAAGCAGGUGAAGUUCAUGGUGGUAUGGCAGACUCAAAGGUUCGAAUGUGAUGGUACGGCAGCACCCGCGGGAGAAGCAGCUGCGGAUGUGGGUACAAAUCCAAGAAAGGAAAACCCCGCUGGUAAAAACCCUUAAACCACCGUUUUCUCCCCAUCGUCAAACCCCACCGACACUCACAUGGUGAAACCCUCUCCCUUCAUUUCUUCUUUCUUGUGUUCAUUUCUCACCCAAGAAAACAGAGUAAAGAAAACCAAGAAAAGCAGGGGGGAGAGACAGAGCGAGGAGGAGGCCUCAAAUUAUGGUUUGGGAUUACACUGGUUUUGGAUAUACAAGGUACAAUGCCAGAGACAUUAACAAAGAAAUACUAGGGUAAGCACAAUUCUGCAGCUGUCUCCUUCCGUGAUGAAACCUGUGUCAUUGCUAAGAGGAUAUAAAUCAGACAGGAGACCUGCAAACUUGACAAUGAUGGCAAUUCUGGAUGGCUUUCAGAAGGCAUAUUCCAUUGAUUUCAGACCACUCAAUGUACUGCGCGCUGCUGCAUUCCAAGGGGCUCAUUAUAUUUCACCAUUGAAAAGGCAAAUAAUCUCGUAUGCAUCUGGUAACCAAGCUUGUACACUCGUUUAAGGAAGGUUCGGAGGAAUGGUCCAAGAAGGCGGUAGAGCUUGAGGAUUCAUGAAGACUUUAGAAUUUGGUUGUGGAAUUUCAAAAUUAUCUGUUUGUCUUAUGUCUUCAUGCAUGCUGGAUGAAGGUGUAUGAGGUGGCAAAGACGGUCUUUGGAAACAAUGACACAGAAACUAGAAAGUCUUUUCAAAGUGAUAAUGGUGGUAAAAUGUUGAUCAUUUUCUUGGCUUUCACUCUUCAUUUCAUCCAUCAAGCAUUCCUUUAUAUGUUUGCAUUGUUAUCUUGAGUUCUUGAUAUUUAUCAUCUACAUUAUGGGGUUGUGAUUUUCUUUUUAUCUAUGGCAAGUUUGUUCCUUUGAUAAAUAGUGUUGGAUGCUUUUUUAGUGGUUUUCAAUUACUUUACUACUGUGGUGUGGGUGUUUCUCAUCUUGUUUAAUUUGGUUGUGCUUUUAUGUUAUCUCAUUCAAGUAAACGACGUGUAUUGUGUUCUUUGUGGUAUAUCAAGCUCUGUGAGACAUUUUGUUGUCGGGAUGUCUGUUAUUGUUUAGCAUUUUAGGAUUAGACUCUUGGUUCAAUUGAAAUUACAUGAAACUUCUAAUAUUCUAAUUUUGAUUUGAACAGCCCAAUUCACCUUCCAAAUGAGAUAAAACCAUUUCAAAAGUAAAGAAUUCCAUGACAUAUAUGUAGUGUUAAUUAACACAUAGGAACCA